AUAAUGAUGACGAGUAGGGCGAGGCACGUGAAACCUUGUCUGAAUAUGGGGGGACCAUCCUCCAAGGCUAAAUACUCCUGACUGACCGAUAGUGAACCAGUACCGUGAGGGAAAGGCGAAAAGAACCCCUGUGAGGGGAGUGAAAUAGAUCCUGAAACCGCAUGCAUACAAGCAGUGGGAGCACCUUCGUGGUGUGACUGCGUACCUUUUGUAUAAUGGGUCAGCGACUUAUAUUCAGUAGCGAGGUUAACCGUAUAGGGGAGCCGUAGAGAAAUCGAGUCUUAAUAGGGCGUUUAGUUGCUGGGUAUAGACCCGAAACCAGGCGAUCUAUCCAUGAGCAGGUUGAAGGUUGGGUAACACUAACUGGAGGACCGAACCCACUGUCGUUGAAAAGCCAGGGGAUGACUUGUGGAUAGGGGUGAAAGGCUAAUCAAGCCUGGUGAUAGCUGGUUCUCCCCGAAAGCUAUUUAGGUAGCGCCUCGGACGAAUACCAUAGGGGGUAGAGCACUGUUUCGGCUAGGGGGUCAUCCCGACUUACCAAACCGAUGCAAACUCCGAAUACCUAUGAGUACUAUCCGGGAGACAGACUGCGGGUGCUAACGUCCGUAGUCAAGAGGAAAACAAUCCAGACCGCCAGCUAAGGCCCCAAAAUCAUAGUUAAGUGGGAAACGAUGUGGGAAGGCAUAGACAGCUAGGAGGUUGGCUUAGAAGCAGCCACCCUUUAAAGAAAGCGUAAUAGCUCACUAGUCGAGUCGGCCUGCGCGGAAGAUGUAACGGGGCUAAAA
rnacentral:rRNA from 1 species